rnacentral:misc_RNA from 1 species
GUUUGUUUCCUUCUAAUUCAUCAAACAGUACAUGCAUAAUCUGCUUUCGUUUAUGUCUCUUCCGAUCUAGGGUUUUAUCUGUCUUUUUCUUUUCUUGCUCCAAGUCAGGGAAUUAGGGCUCAAGAUUGAAAUGGAUUCGAGGGUAUGAACUAUGAAAGUCUAGUCUUUACUUCUUAAGUCGAAAAUCUCUUCGUGAAGGCCAAAACUGCGUGACUCCAUGACAAGGGUUUUUGGAUUAAAGCUGUUAAUUUGUAAAUAGUCUUAUCAUCUGUACUUGUGUAUGUUAAUUAUUAGAUGGCAAUCAAAGGUGGAGAUUUUAUUGUUCAUGGCUUCAUGCAU